AAAUUGAAGAGUUUGAUCAUGGCUCAGAUUGAACGCUGGCGGCAGGCCUAACACAUGCAAGUCGAGCGGUAGCACAGAGAGCUUGCUCUCGGGUGACGAGCGGCGGACGGGUGAGUAAUGUCUGGGAAACUGCCUGAUGGAGGGGGAUAACUACUGGAAACGGUAGCUAAUACCGCAUAAUGUCGCAAGACCAAAGUGGGGGACCUUCGGGCCUCAUGCCAUCAGAUGUGCCCAGAUGGGAUUAGCUAGUAGGUGGGGUAACGGCUCACCUAGGCGACGAUCCCUAGCUGGUCUGAGAGGAUGACCAGCCACACUGGAACUGAGACACGGUCCAGACUCCUACGGGAGGCAGCAGUGGGGAAUAUUGCACAAUGGGCGCAAGCCUGAUGCAGCCAUGCCGCGUGUGUGAAGAAGGCCUUCGGGUUGUAAAGCACUUUCAGCGGGGAGGAAGGCGUUAAGGUUAAUAACCUUGGCGAUUGACGUUACCCGCAGAAGAAGCACCGGCUAACUCCGUGCCAGCAGCCGCGGUAAUACGGAGGGUGCAAGCGUUAAUCGGAAUUACUGGGCGUAAAGCGCACGCAGGCGGUCUGUCAAGUCGGAUGUGAAAUCCCCGGGCUCAACCUGGGAACUGCAUUCGAAACUGGCAGGCUAGAGUCUUGUAGAGGGGGGUAGAAUUCCAGGUGUAGCGGUGAAAUGCGUAGAGAUCUGGAGGAAUACCGGUGGCGAAGGCGGCCCCCUGGACAAAGACUGACGCUCAGGUGCGAAAGCGUGGGGAGCAAACAGGAUUAGAUACCCUGGUAGUCCACGCCGUAAACGAUGUCGAUUUGGAGGUUGUGCCCUUGAGGCGUGGCUUCCGGAGCUAACGCGUUAAAUCGACCGCCUGGGGAGUACGGCCGCAAGGUUAAAACUCAAAUGAAUUGACGGGGGCCCGCACAAGCGGUGGAGCAUGUGGUUUAAUUCGAUGCAACGCGAAGAACCUUACCUGGUCUUGACAUCCACAGAACUUUCCAGAGAUGGAUUGGUGCCUUCGGGAACUGUGAGACAGGUGCUGCAUGGCUGUCGUCAGCUCGUGUUGUGAAAUGUUGGGUUAAGUCCCGCAACGAGCGCAACCCUUAUCCUUUGUUGCCAGCGGUUAGGCCGGGAACUCAAAGGAGACUGCCAGUGAUAAACUGGAGGAAGGUGGGGAUGACGUCAAGUCAUCAUGGCCCUUACGACGGGGCUACACACGUGCUACAAUGGCAUAUACAAAGAGAAGCGACCUCGCGAGAGCAAGCGGACCUCAUAAAGUAUGUCGUAGUCCGGAUUGGAGUCUGCAACUCGACUCCAUGAAGUCGGAAUCGCUAGUAAUCGUAGAUCAGAAUGCUACGGUGAAUACGUUCCCGGGCCUUGUACACACCGCCCGUCACACCAUGGGAGUGGGUUGCAAAAGAAGUAGGUAGCUUAACCUUCGGGAGGGCGCUUACCACUUUGUGAUUCAUGACUGGGGUGAAGUCGUAACAAGGUAACCGUAGGGGAACCUGCGGUUGGAUCACCUCCUUACCUUAAAGAA
rnacentral:rRNA from 1 species